GUCCAUACCGUAAACGAUGGGAACUAGGUGUCUGGGGACUAACCCCCUGGGCGCCGUAGCUAACGCGUUAAGUUCCCCGCCUGGGGAGUACGAUCGCAAGGUUGAAACUCAAAGGAAUUGACGGGGGCCCGCACAAGCGGUGGAGCAUGUGGUUUAAUUCGAUGCAACGCGAAGAACCUUACCUGGGCUUGAACUGAGUGUGACCGUGGUAGAGAUAUCAUUUUCGGAGCAAUCCGACACAUUUAGAGGUGCUGCAUGGCUGUCGU
rnacentral:rRNA from 1 species